ensembl:lincRNA
AUGAACAGCGCCACCGUCGUGCAGCAAGAGUUCCGGGCCAGGGAAGCAGCUGUGGCAGGGCGGCAGGAGAGCCGGGGGCGGCGGCCAGCCACGGCCCACUUCCGCAGGGCAGGGCAGAGCUCCCAGGCACUGUGCCAGCCUCUGUCCGCAACACGGAGCCAGAAACCCGCGCAAGCGGACAAGGAAAGGAGCCGCUGCUCCGCGAGUGACACCGGUGAUGUUCAUACACGCUCUGAGGCCCUCGCAAAGUCGAGCUCGGCGCGUCUGCAGGGAACUCGCUGCUGCUGCUGCGUGUCUGCAGCUGGCCACCUCCCGUUCCGUCCAGCUUCUCUGCACGCACUCGAACAGCUCAUGAGUGACCCGAUGAAGAAACUGCUGCAGGCACGGCCGGGCCCCUCAGCCGACGUCACACGCCAGGAGAGCUGCCGCCAGCAGAGGAAGCCAAGCAGCCUCGCCCAGCGCCAGCGCCAGCGCCAAGAACAGCAAUGCGACGAUGAUGACUACACCUCAUGAUGAAUUAUUUAGGAAAAGUUACGAUCUAUUUGUUCAGUGCUGCUUUCGGGGUUUGAGUUUGGUUUCAUUUGGUUUUGAGACGGGGUCUCCCUAGGUAGUCCAGGCUGGCCCUCAAACUCGCAGUGACCCUCCUGCCUCAGCCUUCCAAGUGCUUGGGGUUAUAGGCAUGCGCCACCACACUCGGCUAGAAAAGUUACAAUGUGAAAGUAAAAGAAAAUUUAACUGACAUUCCUUCAGGUAUAUACUUUGAAACUGAAAUGAUACAAAAUUAGAUGUAAGCGAACAAACUGAAUUUCUAAACGAUCUAUUAGUCAGAUUAUAUGUAUUUCUUAUUCUUUCACAGAGCUCUUCAUUUUCCUUUUCCCAGAUGGUAACGAAUACAAAAUUUACAAGCAGUACCCAAACGUCACUGCCACUGCUGCAGCCCAGUGUCGGCUCUGCAGCCCAAUCGCACAGCUAAGGCUCCCUCGUUACUGCGGCCCAUUCUCACAGCAGGAAUGAAGGAACACACGUGGGCACGGGGCACACAGACACAUCUGAAGAUACGCAUCGUGGGUGUUUUCGCUUCCUGUACUUUUUAGCUAGGCCCCGUGCAUCAGGUUCUAAUAAGGUAGUCAUGGAAAGCUGUCAGCACAUGAAAUAUUUUUAAACCCAUCAACUCCUAAUUAUAGGUGUGAAUUACUGUCCUGCAACCAAAGUCAGAAGCCCCCACCAAAGCCUCACCUUGCAGCCAGUGUCUCUUUUACGAACUCACUUCCGAAAGGCUCACUUCCAAGGAAAGAGACACCAGCCACACAGGGACCAGGGCUUUCCGCACAGGAGCACGGGAGCCGGCGGGUGGCACCAACGGGACAGCUCGCCCACACCAGGGCCCCGCCUGCACACUACACAGCGGCACACUGCAGAAAAGUGGUCCUUACGGCAUCCAGCUGGCCAGGAUGUCUUCUAUUCAUACAAAGAAGGGACCUUUCCAGUAACAACAGGCGAUAACGGACAGUUUCAAAAUAAAAGACAAUGCUUCCUUUAAAAACAAAUAAAGUGCUGGCAACUCUAUACACAUACACACUCGCUCACUAUCUGUCUCUGUCUGUAUCUGUCUGUCUGUCUUUCUCCCCCAUAAAUUUCCUCUCAUUUCAUUUUCCCUCUGCCCAGUAACGGUGACAACUUCCCACCAGCCUAUACCUGGCGAUCCCGGAACCCCCUGAGUCCUCCGCUUCACCCCUUUUCUAGAUGCAAGCACAGUGGCAGCUCUGGCUAUGACAUUCCUGGUCCUGACCACUUGGGGGCUGAGAAGAUAAUCAUACACUCCACAGUCACACAGGAGCAUCCUUCAUUCCCCAGUCCCUAACAGGCGUUUCUAGGAUGUAGCACAUAGUAAUAAAUGUCAGCUGAGUAAGUAAAUCCUUAUUUCCUUUCUAUACAAUUUUAAAUUAGAAGCUUAUUCUUCUAGAAAUAAAAUUAUGCUGAAUAGAGCAAAAGGUUUAAUAUAACAUAUGUAAUAAAAUGCACAUACUUCCUAAUAGUAAUGUGAAGUCCUGGUGUACAAACUUAAAAACUGAUAUAGACAUGCAAUACUGGUCAACCAAAGACUCAUUGACAGUUUCUUUUUCAUGAGAAGCCACUUUGAAGAUAUCAAUAUGUAAUACAACCACCAUUGUUAAUUCCCUACCACUUUGUUUGUAACUCUGUAUUGUCUGUAUUGUGCUUCUGAUAUGUUGUAAAAUGUUGUAUGUCUGUUAAUGUUUCCCUCCUUUUAUCCUUAAAAUAAAAAAAAUAAAAAUAAAAAUAAAAAAGAACUUAAAAACUAGGAUGGUUUUAAUAAUACAACACUUAUGAAUGUAAAAGGUAGGAGAACCAAUUUACUUGGGGAAAAAACAAAAAAAAAAAUUUUUUUUUUUUGGUUCUUUUUUUCCAGUACCGGGAAUUGAACUCACAACCUUGCACUUGCCUAGCUGGCGCUGUGCCACA